rnacentral:rRNA from 1 species
UACGUGAGAAGACUAGUGUUAUUCAUCUUUAGUAGGUUUAAAGGGUACCUAGACGGUAUUACUAGCCAAGAUAGGGUACGGUAUUGCUAGAGUUUUAUAUGAGAAGGGGAGUAUUCAUGGAGUAGAGAUAAAAUUUUUUUGAUACCAUGAACGACUGGCAGCGGCGAAAGCAACCUUUUAUCUAAUAACUGACGUUGAGGGACGAAGGCUUGGGUAGCAAACAGG